UUUGCUCUGGUCUGCUCCUGUGCAUGUGUAGUUUGUGUCUUUCUCAUGGUUAGUUUUCUGUUUAGCUCAUUAUCAUCAUCUUCACCAUCAUCACUUUGGACUAAAGCACGUUUAUUGAGAACAUUCUGGGUUGUAUCUUUCCAGGAGCCCUUGGAUUGGCAUCGUUUGGACUUUGUGUCGUUGAAGAUAUUUCUCAGGAUGGCUUCUUUGGGGAAAACCAGAGGAAACCCCAUGAGGAGCAUACAAGCCCCGCACUCAUGGAGCCAUGGUGGAGGCUCAAAGUCUACUCCCAGAGGGGUGGGGCACCAGCAACACACACAAAUUAAGAUUCACCGAAGCAAUUGAGGUUAGCUGGCUUCUACCAGAACCUGGUGAUUCAUGGACUGGUUCUGACUCAUCAUAUGGACUGGUUCUGACUCAUCAUAUGGACUGGUUCCAUCUCAGAGAUUAAGUUCUUGAACGCAUUACCCCAUUGUGAUGGUGUCCACUGGAGCGACUGCAAUCCAAAAGAAGAACAUAGAUGCUUCAUCACUUUUAUUGUUAAAAUGUUGGACUCUUUCUUUGGGUUUAAGUGUAUUCACUGCCUGGUCUUUGUCCUUUUGGCUUUUUCUGUAGGACGCAGCCCUGCUUUGAAGGAUAUCUCUUCCUACUCUGGUUAAUAAUGGAAGAAAUAUUUGAAAUUUUCACUGGAUGACUGGAAUUAUGAACCACUGAGGUGUGAAGAUACGUUAAGACGCUUCCUUAGAAGUACUGAGUAAGACUAUUGCAUUUAAAGAGGGUGGGUUUGUGGUUGGUCACUGAAUAAGUCCAGCCAGUAACAAUAUGCACUCUGGCAUGAAUCAGGCACAAAUGAGACACGACAGGGUGCUCUUCUUCUCAUGUUCCUAUGGUCUCUAGAACCUAGUCAACAAAUUCAUUGUACUGGUGGAUGGCUCCACAAACGAUACCGUCUUCCCCUACAGCCCCCCGUAGAGAACGGGCGUAAUUCUGGGGUAGAUGGUUCUUGGGAAAUAAACUAGGCUUAAUUGUGCAAUGGUGGCCUGAACAUUUCUACAAAAAUGCAAAUUAAAAGCAGGUAAGUCUGGCAGAGAUGGACGUGCUUAAUCGCACUGAUAAUUGGUCAGUGGCCUUGCUGAUUCUCUGCUGUGCAUCAGCAAUGCUUUUGACCUCAUUAGACGUUCCGUCAUCUCUUAGUCGAGGGUAAAAUAAAAGCACCUCCUUCAUUCGCCGAUUUCGGGCUGAAACGGCAAACUGACGUCUUAUUAAAGAUCACAAAUAGAGUUUAAUCCCUGAGAUUCAUUAAUCUGUUCUAUUCUUGUAGCCCUCAUUUUUUCUUCCCCUGAACAGAAUAAAAGAGUAUGUUGAUUUAUCAGUUGAAGAAUUCAUAAUAACCUGUUACACGAGGGCCCCAGGCAUACAUUUCCUUCAGUUUUAUUAUUAACACUAUUGUUAUUAAUAAUGGCUUUUAAAAACCUAAUAUAGAAAUGCCUGGCACAACACUGCCUUUUUAAUUCCUUUACUUGGCAG